GACGAACGCUGGCGGCGUGCUUAAUACAUGCAAGUCGAACGGAAAGGCCUCUUUCGUGCGGUACUCGAGUGGCCAACGGGUGAGUAACACACAAGUAACCUGCCCACCACUUUGGGUUAACUUACGGCAACUGGCGCGAAUACCGACUAGGAGCUCCUUCUGCACGGUGGGGUUUGGAGAGUUUCGGCGGUUGGUGAUGGAUUCGCGGGUUAUCCGCUCGGUAGUGGCGUAGUGGCUUACCAAGGCCUUGCCGGGUAGCCGGCCUGAGAGGGUGAGCGGCCGCAUUGGGACGGAGAGACGGCCCAGACUCGUACGGGAGGCAGCAGUGGGGAAUAUUGCAGGAGGGGUGGCAGCCGGAUGCAGCAGCGCUGUGUGCGGGAUGACGGCCUUAGUGUGGUAGAACGUAUUCGCUCGUGACGAAGCUUUGUUUGACGGUAGUGGGUAAAGAAGCAACGGCUAACUACGUG
rnacentral:rRNA from 1 species